rnacentral:rRNA from 1 species
CCCUUAGAUGUUCUGGGCCGCACGCGCGCUACACUGAUCAGUGCAACAAGCAUCCGUCCUUGGCCGACAGGCCCGGGCAAUCUUUGAACACUGAUCGUGAUGGGGAUAGACUUUUGCAAUUUUUGGUCUUCAACGAGGAAUUCCUAGUAAACGCAAGUCAUCAACUUGCAUUGAUUACGUCCCUGCCCUUUGUACACACCGCCCGUCGCACCUACCGAUUGAAUGGUCCGGUGAAGCCUCCGGAUUGGCGUGCACCCUCGGGUGCUGCCGAGAAGUUGGCUAAACCUUACCAUUUAGAGGAAGGUGAAGUCGUAACA